rfam:Mesorhizobium loti R7A genomic scaffold MesloDRAFT_Scaffold1.1, whole genome shotgun sequence.
CGGAGUGUAGCGCAGGCUGGUAGCGCAUCUGGUUUGGGACCAGAGGGUCGGGAGUUCGAAUCUCUCCACUCCGA